UACCGAGACUGCAAGCGUUAUUCGGAUUCACUGGGCGUAACGGGUGCGCAGGCGGCCGAGUGUGUUAGGCGUGAAAGCCUGAGGCUCAACCUCAGAAUUGCACCUAAAUCUACACGGCUAGAGCAUUGGAGAGGGUAGCGGAAUUCACGGUGUAGCAGUGAAAUGCGUAGAUAUCGUGAGGAACACCAGAGGCGAAGGCGGCUACCUGGACAAGUGCUGACGCUCAGGCACGAAAGCGUGGGGAGCAAAAGGG
rnacentral:rRNA from 1 species